rnacentral:rRNA from 1 species
UACAUGGGGUGCAAACGUUGCUCGGAAUUAUUGGGCGUAAAGCGCACGUAGGCGGUUCGUUAAGUCGGAUGUGAAAGCCCUCGGCUCAACUGAGGAAGUGCACCCGAAACUGGCGAGCUUGAGUACGAAAGAGGAUCGCGGAAUUCCCGGUGUAGAGGUGAAAUUCGUAGAUAUUCGGAAGAACACCAGUGGCGAAGGCGACACACUGGCCCGUUACUGACGCUGAGGCGCGAAAGCGUGGGGAGCAAACAGG